rnacentral:rRNA from 1 species
UACGUAGGGUGCAAGCGUUGUCCGGAAUUAUUGGGCGUAAAGAGCUCGUAGGCGGUUUGUCGCGUCUGCUGUGAAAACUCGGGGCUUAACCCUGGGCCUGCAGUGGGUACGGGCAGACUAGAGUGAUGUAGGGGAGACUGGAAUUCCUGGUGUAGCGGUGAAAUGCGCAGAUAUCAGGAGGAACACCGGUGGCGAAGGCGGAUCUCUGGGCCAUUACUGACGCUGAGGCGCGAAAGCGUGGGGAGCAAACGGG